GAUGAACGCUGGCGGCGUGCUUAACACAUGCAAGUCGAACGGUGAAGCAGAGCUUGCUCUGUGGAUCAGUGGCGAACGGGUGAGUAGCACGUGAGCAACCUGCCCCGGACUCUGGGAUAAGCGCUGGAAACGGCGUCUAAUACCGGAUACGAGAUUCCACCGCAUGGUGAGUUUCUGGAAAGAUUUUUUGGUCUGGGAUGGGCUCACGGCCUAUCAGCUUGUUGGUGAGGUAAUGGCUCACCAAGGCGUCGACGGGUAGCCGGCCUGAGAGGGGGACCGGGCACACCGGGACUGGGACACGGCCCAGACUCCUACGGGAGGCAGCAGUGGGGAAUAUUGCACAAUGGGCGGAAGCCUGAUGCAGCAACGCCGCGUUAGGGAUGACGGCCUUCGGGUUGUAAACCUCUUUUAGCAGGGAAGAAGCGAAAGUGACGGUACCUGCAGAAAAAGCGCCGGCUAACUACGUGCCAGCAGCCGCCGUAA
rnacentral:rRNA from 1 species